rnacentral:rRNA from 1 species
UCCGGUUGAUCCUGCCGGACCUGACUGCUAUCGGAUUGAUACUAAGCCAUGCUAGUCUUUGUAGUAAUACAAGGCAUACGGCUCAGUAACGCGUAGUCAACCUACCCUAUGGACGGGGAUAAUCUCGGGAAACUGAGCAUAAUACCCGGCAGACCACUUAUCCUGGAAUGGUUAGUGGUUAAAAUGAUUCGUCGCCAUAGGAUGGGACUGCGGCCUAUCAGCUUGUUGGUGAGGUAAUGGCCCACCAAGGCGAUUACAGGUACGGGCUCUGAGAGGAGAGGCCCGGAGAUGGGUACUGAGACAAGGACCCAGGCCCUAUGGGGCGCAGCAGGCGAGAAAACUUUGCAAUGUGCGAAAGCACGACAAGGUUAAUCCGAGUGAUUUCUGCUAAAGGAAUCUUUUGUUAGUUCUAAAAAUACUAGUGAAUAAGGGGUGGGCAAGUUCUGGUGUCAGCCGCCGCGGUAAAACCAGCACCUCAAGUGGUCAGGAGGAUUAUUGGGCCUAAAGCAUCCGUAGCCUGUUCUAUAAGUUUGCGGUUAAAUCUAUACGCUCAACGUAUAGGCUGCCGUAAAUACUGCAUAGCUAGGGAGUGGGAGAGGUAGACGGUACUCGGUAGGAAGGGGUAAAAUCCUUUGAUCUAUCGAUGACCACCUGUGGCGAAGGCGGUCUACCAGAACACGUUCGACGGUGAGGGAUGAAAGCUGGGGGAGCAAACCGGAUUAGAUACCCGGGUAGUCCCAGCUGUAAACGAUGCAGACUCGAUGAUGCAUUGGCAUAUAGCCAGUGCAGUGUCGCAGGGAAGCCGUUAAGUCUGCCGCCUGGGAAGUACGUACGCAAGUAUGAAACUUAAAGGAAUUGGCGGGGGAGCACCACAAGGGGUGAAGCCUGCGGUUCAAUUGGAUUCAACGCCGGA